GACCGAAUGGCGUAGUGGUUAGUGACCCUGACUGCUAUGCCGAAGGUCCCGGGUUCGAUUCCCGGCUGGGGCA
rnacentral:tRNA from 1 species